UUGAGUUUGUUUGUGAAUCUGCUGCAAAUUUCUAAUGAAAUUAUGUUGAUUUGAGUUCCAUCUCUCAGUUUUGAUUCGCUGAAUUGAUAUCACGUACAAACGUAAACUGAGUUUGUUUGUGUACAUAACUUUCACAGUUUCACUCGUUCCAUCUCGCAUCUUUCUGCAUUUUCUGUUUCAGGUCUAUUCCAUAUUUUUCUUUGCGCACAUAACUUGUUGCUUCGGUCCAUUUGCUUUUCUGCAUUUCCUUCCUCCUGUUAUCAAACCGUUGCCUAAUUAUUUCUGGUUUUAAUUCAUUUUUAGUUUUAAUUUCCUUUUCAAAUUAGAGUACACAGAUUCAAAUUAGAGAGGAGCUUUAGUUUCCUUUGAAUAAGUAAUUUGUUUUAGCAUUUCUUAUUUUAUUAAUGUUGAGUAAAACUACAAGUUAGUCGAGAUCAUUAGUUGGUCCUGUGGUGAUUGGCAUUGGACUUGGUAGGGAGGACUUAGUCUCUGUCUUUGUAGGGCACUAGUCCUGACUCUAUAAAAAUGUCAAAUUGGUCACUAUAUUCAACUACUUACUGUCAAUUUAAGUCCUUAUUUCUUAUAACUUAUCAUCAAUUUGAUCAUUAAGUUUAUCCACUUAUUCUCAAUUAAGUCCUAACAUAUUCUUUGAAGAACUAAUGAGUAAAAUUUGAAAGAGUUGGGG
rnacentral:lncRNA from 1 species